GAUGUUAAGACGGCAAACCCAUCUAGGCCCAGAGACA
rnacentral:tRNA from 1 species